AACCUUCUUGCCCCAAGCUCCCUCCCAUAAUUAGUUUUGCAGCUCCCAUUUCAGUUAGCAGCUGAUUUUCUUGGGAAGAGUCGGAACUGAAGAAAUCACCUUGGCCCAGUGAGCUACGAUCAGAAAAAGGCCUGAGAUUGGGGGAGAAAUUGCAGUCAACUCUCAGCCCAACUUUCCCACAAACUCGUUUGAGAGGAUCCGAGAAGAUGAAGCUAUAAGGUAAAAGUCAAGCGGGCAUGGCGGAUGUGCACUCGCCAAACGAUCCCAAGGGAGAAACGCUGUGUUCGAUCUGUUGGGAGCCUUGUCAAAACCCAGCUACUCAUCCUUGCGGACACAAUUUCUGUCACGCCUGUUCCAGUCGAUCCUGGGGAGAAGAACUAAAGGGGAAAGUCACCUGCUCCAGCUGCAGAGACAUGUUUCUGAAAAAUAAACCUAAAGAACCUCUUGAGAAAAUGGCAGAGGCCACCAGAUUGGUGACGGUAGAUGAAACUAAACAUUCAGCUGAGAGUGUGUGUGAGAUACAUAAGGAAGCCUUAAAUCUCUUCUGCGUGGAGGAUCAAAAACCCCUUUGUUCAGUCUGCAGAAAAUCCUGGGAUCAUGUGUCUCACACUCUGGUUCCCAGAAACCAGGCAGCAAAUACAGAAAAUCAGGGGAUUGAAAACCCAUUGAGUGGGUAAGUACCCCUUCUGAUGCACCACUAUGAUGGGG